CAAGUUAGUAGCAAAAUUGAGUGUGUCACAAACAUGAUAAAAUACACCAUAUUGCAAAAUUUUGUGUCUGUUCAAGACAAGAAUUCUUCAGUGUAUUAUUACUUGGUUGCAUGCCAUGUUUGGUUUUCAUUUAAUAUCAGUGCAUAUGUAUAUCAUAUGAAGGGAUAAAGAAACACACUUAAAACAGCUAACAUGAAAUGUAUGCCGAUGAAAUAAGGUUUUGCACAGCCAAAUAAAUGUAUGGUAAAAGAAAAAGUAUAUCAAUGUGUGCUGAAGGAAGCACUUUUGUAUCUGGCCAGUUACGAAGGAAAACUAUUUAAAUAAAACCAUAUUUCAUAAAGUUGAAAAGAGA
rnacentral:lncRNA from 1 species